CAGCAGCCACGGUAAUACGUAGGUGGCAAGCGUUAUCCGGAAUUAUUGGGCGUAAAGCGCGCGUAGGCGGUUUUUUAAGUCUGAUGUGAAAGCCCACGGCUCAACCGUGGAGGGUCAUUGGAAACUGGAAAACUUGAGUGCAGAAGAGGAAAGUGGAAUUCCAUGUGUAGCGGUGAAAUGCGCAGAGAUAUGGAGGAACACCAGUGGCGAAGGCGACUUUCUGGUCUGUAACUGACGCUGAUGUGCGAAAGCGUGGGGAUCAAACAGGAUUAGAUACCCGCGUAGUCCCUGUCUCUUAUAC
rnacentral:rRNA from 1 species